UAAUACACUGCGGCAGCUUACACAUGCAGUCCAACGGUAGCAGGUUAGUACUUGUACUAAUGCUGACGAGUGGCGGACGGGUGAGUAAUGCUUGGGAAUCUGGCUUAUGGAGGGGGAUAACUACUGGAAACUGUAGCUAAUACCGCGUAAUAUCGUAAGAUUAAAGGGUGGGACCUAUUGGCCACCUGCCAUGAAAUAACCCCAAGUGGGAUUAGGUAUUUGGUGGGGUAAAGGCCUACCAAGCCGACAAUCUCUACCUGGUCUAAAAGGAUGGCCAGCCACACCGGGACUGAAACACGGCCCGAACUCCUACGGGAGGCACCAUUGGGAAAUAUUGCACAAUGGGGGGAACCCUGAUGCACCCAUGCCCCGUGAAUGAAAAAGGCCUUCGGGUUGUAAAGUUCUUUCGGUGAUAAGAAAGGCGGUUGUUUUAAUACAAGAAUUGAUUGACUUUAUUCACAAAAAAAGCACCGGUUAACUCCUGGCCAGCACCCGCGGUAAA
rnacentral:rRNA from 1 species